CCCUUAGACGUUCUGGGCCGCACGCGCGCUACACUGACCAGUGCAACAAGCAUCCGUCCUUGGCCGACAGGCCCGGGCAAUCUUUGAACGCUGGUCGUGAUGGGGAUAGACUUUUGCAAUUUUUGGUCUUCAACGAGGAAUUCCUAGUAAACGCAAGUCAUCAACUUGCAUUGAUUACGUCCCUGCCCUUUGUACACACCGCCCGUCGCACCUACCGAUUGAAUGGUCCGGUGAAGCCUCCGGAUUGGCGCGCACCCCGGUGCCGCCGAGAAGUUGGCUAAACCUUACCAUUUAGAGGAAGGUGAAGUCGUAACA
rnacentral:rRNA from 1 species